CGUUGGUUCCCUCGCAACGAUAAGCUGUAAACCCCGCCAGGCCCGGAAGGGAGCAACGGUAGCAGUGGAUUCGUGUGCCGGGGUGUAGCUGGCGGGG
rfam:Bacterioplanes sanyensis strain NV9 chromosome, complete genome.